UGUAUCAGUAUCCUAAAUGAAUUCCUAGAAUGCCCUUUCUCUCCUCUUUCUUCUUCCCAGCCCGAUACGACUCUUGCUUUCCAUCUCUCGCAUCUCAGUCGCCCAGACCAGAUGAGCCAUCUCCGGCCACCACCCAAUGACACGCACCCCACCAAGAGCUUCCUUGGCCUCCGAAACCCCCAACCCGUGAAGCUCGCCUCCGCAUUCGCCGGCCUCCGUCGUCGCGACUGGCUCACUGAAGUUCCGUCGCCGCUGUGAGUUUGGAGGAUUUUUCUAGCCUCCACCAUGGACGAUGAAGGCUCCAGCUGGCAACGACGAUGGCGAAGGCAACGGCGAAGGCUCUUGAGCUGGUGAAGUUCUCAGGCAUGGGUGGUGCUGCCAUUCUCUUCAAGGUUUUACUUAAAAAAUCCAUCUAUUCUUCAAGCCAGGGAUGGUAAACUUGGACAAGCAUCUAAUAAUUUAAAAUCUUUAAAGAGCUCUACCGCGAACGAUGAUGAAGAUCUCGAUUAUCUCAAUUGCAUGCAAGGUAUUGAAUCAAAUAUGGCAUGUUCUUUUGCUAUGUUUAAUUAAUAUAAUAUAAUGCUAUGUGGACCUAAAGAUGGUAAGUUUUAGAUGGCUUUUCAAACUAACACAUUUUUUUUUGCUGAUAAAUAAAAAAGAUAAUUUUAUUUAAAGAAACUGAUACAUAAAGAUUAUCCAUUUAAGAAGCAUUAAUGCCUUUAUACUUUUUGCUUUUUCCACGUUCUAUGUGGAUGACAACACUAUGUAUCACCUCCUUAUAUUUAUGCAUUAUUAUAAUAUCAUUUUUACCAUGAAUAAAUGCGUUAAGCUAACUUGACUAUCAUUUGCAAACUUCUAUUAAUUACUAAUUUAGUUGUUUGGUAUUAAUAUUAGUCUCUAAUAUCUGAUAUUAGAUUUAUACAGAAUUUCAUAUCGAUGUUCUAGUUUUAUAUAAAAACUUUGGUGGUAUAUAGGUUUGAUCACCGUUUUUGUUUAUUCACUAGAAAGGAUAAGGAAUACUAAAAUGCAAUUUUGUACAAUCAUGUUAAAUGCAGAAGCGCAAAGAAUGAAAUAAUAUUUUUGGCUAAGCCACCCUCCUGCUCAUGUACAAACAACAAGAUAGGGAAUGCAUAAAACGCAAGUCUGUACAAUCAUGUCUAGAUAGGAAAUACAUAAAAGGCAAUUUAUGCUUAAACGGUUAAACACUCUUGUUCAUGCUCUGACAGCUUCAGUCAUGUGCUUGCACUUUGACCUACCUGCUUAAUGUUUUAUCCUUGGGUGUGUUAGCAGUCAUAGAUGCUGCAUUUUAGAAUUAUAACUCAUGCCUAGUUUGGCAUGAGAGCUUUCAUAUAUGACUGAAUUUGAUUGUUUAUUGACUACUAUAUAGUAUAUGCCCAUAUAUGAAGAAGCAAGUGACUACUAUAUAAUAAGCAGGUGACUACAAAACAAUUUGAUUGUUUAUUCCUUUUUGAGGUAGUAGGCAAGGUACUAUCUCACAUCCUUAAUUUCUCUACCUCACUUUUUAUAUAUUUAUUUUGCAACCUUUUAUUGGAAGUGGGAAUUGAGGAAAUAAUAAAUGAGUAUUGUUCAAAGUGCUGUCUCAUACUGAAUCAGGUUUUGUACAGCAUGUUAGGAACGAGUUUCCUAAUACGCAGCAGAAUGGUGGUGGGGUUGACCUAGUGUACAACAAUUUUUUUUUAACAUAUUUAAAUUAUUUUUAAAUAUGCGGAUCCAUUAAUAUACAUACAUUAAUCAUAAGCAAUAUAAGAAUAGAAAUCAUACCUCUUGAAGUCUAUUAAGUGUCAUUCUAUCUUUUCGUAAUAAGAACGAUCUUGUGGGCACUUAGAGAAUAAAUGAUAGUUUAUUUAUGAUUC